UUCCAUUCGCCCUUCCAGGCUUGCUGUGCUAUCUUCUCUCUGGGACCUGUUCUGGGCACGUACAGUGUGAGAAAUCAGACAUAGACCCUGACCUAGGCAGGAGGAGCGGAUUAUUGAUGAAGCAAAUGUAUACCUUCGGCAUAGGUUACAAGGUGUCUUAUGUGCAAACCAGAAAAGAGAUGGCAAUUCUGAUCCUGGACCCAGUUUCCAUGAAAGAGAAACAAAAUGGAGCAGAUCCUGUCCCCAGCAAAGAUGGUAACCAGAUACAAUGGGACAAACAUUGUCUGCCCCUCACUGCAGAAUUCAGAGUAUGGACAGGAUUAUGAUGUGCCAGUGUCCAACAGGCAUGUGUUGGGUAAGCACCAGAGGCCCACUGGGGUGAGGAGAAGGAGAACGGAGGUGGAAGCUCACUGGUCUUUGACAUUCUCCUUGCCAUUUUCUCCACUCCAAACUCCCAGGGCUGGUGGAUCACAAUGCAACGAGAGUCCUUGACCAAUGUUGCUUCUCCACGAGGGUCUGAAGAUGGAGGGAUGACUUAAGCUGCCUUACUGGGGUGAUAGGA